rnacentral:lncRNA from 1 species
CCUAUCCACUUGUCAUUACACCUCUGUAAUUCUUAGUGAUGUUCCACGUUGCCUCCCACACUGACCCUGUACAAACCAGUGCAAGAGUUUCGGGGGUGGGGGACUGUUACUUGAGCCAACUUCUUCCAUCCUGCAAAGGCAGGGAUGGAGCUCAGGAGAUGGUGUUUUGCAUCACUACAACUGGAACAAGAUGAAAGGUCUCUGAAGCAAUAAUGAGAUCCAGGCUUGAUUCAGGACAAGAGGCCAGAUGGGAACAGUAGAGCAUUAGGAUGUUGUGACGCUGGGGUAACCUUUCCAUAAUGAUGUUGUGUGGCCUGAAGUUUGAUGCUGAGAAUCUACAGUGAUUUCUGGCUUAGAAAUAAGAAAUUGAUCAGUAAAUGAAAAAAAAAAAAAGUCUACCUGUAUCCAAUCUCUCCCCACAAGCCCCCCUCCCAGCAUUGUUAUCUAUUUGUAUACGCAACAGUAUUUUAGCAAAUGAAAAUUCUCAGAAUUCUAAUCACAUCCUUAUCCCAAAGCCUGGAUUUCAUCAGAAAGCUUUAUGGUGCUUCUGACUCAGUAGAGUUAGUUAUCCUGUUUAAUUGGAUUGACAGUGACAAUUGUAAUUACCUUAGAUGAGAUUGCCUGUAAUGUAAUUAUACUUCCUUCAUCUGCAUGAGCUGGACUUGUGGAAUACAUACAGAAGAUGCCUCCAAUUACUGAGAGGUUAAGAAGAACAUUAUAUUGCCUCACAAAUCCUGUUUGUUACUGUAUAGAAUUGUAAGAAUUAUGGAAGAAACUGAAGGAAUUACUCCUCUAAAGCAGAUACUCCUGGAAAGUUAAACAACUUGGCUAAUACUCUCCUGCUGGAUUUGGACAGGAAGACCUCACCAAAGCUGAAAGGUUAGGGCUGUGCUGGGGGCACUUUGCUUUCUAAUUCUUCCAAAAUAGGCUUUGGAGAGGUGCAAGGCCCUGCCACAGCUGCUCACAAAGAAACCUUCUUCUGUUUUUGAACAUCAGAGACAAAGAGUCUGCUGUAUCAUAAAAGGGCUGAUUGGGCAAGAAAAAGACACACACACACUGUCUCUCUCUCUUUCUCUCUCUCUCUCAUUCUCUCUAUUUCUCUUAAGACCAGUACUUAGUCAAGCAAUAUUCAUAGCAUGCUCGAAUCACUAACUUCACCAGUAAACUCUAAUUCUGAGCACCAUUUGAAUGUCCCACUCAUGACAUACAGCAAAAACUUAUCUAAAAC